UACGAAGGGGGCUAGCGUUGUUCGGAUUAACUGGGCGUAAAGCGUGCGUAGGCGGGUUUUUAAGUCAGGGGUGAAAUCCCAAGGCUCAACCUUGGAACUGCCUUUGAUACUGGAAAUCUUGAGUCCGGGAGAGGUGAGUGGAACUGCGAGUGUAGAGGUGAAAUUCGUAGAUAUUCGCAAGAACACCAGUGGCGAAGGCGGCCAACUGGACGAAUACUGACGCUGAGACACGAAAGCGUGGGGAGCAAACAGG
rnacentral:rRNA from 1 species